rnacentral:lncRNA from 1 species
GGAACCUAUUCUAAACGUGUUCUGAAUAUUUAAUUUGCGUUGAAAAGCUAAAUCAAACGAUUUCCGUACGGAAUAAAUUAGUUUCGCACAAAAUGUGUCGGACAUUUUGAAUCUUUCAUUAUGUAUUAUACUGUGGCUAAUGAGGCAGCUAAAAAGUCCUUCCAGUCAGUUGCAACAACAAUUAAAGCAGCAGGAAACAACCAAGUACACAUGCAAGUGACAAUGAGGAUUGCAAAAGUUUUAAAUAUCAGAAACUGAAGAAGGAAUUGAUAAUUAGCAGAUAACAAAAAAGCGCAAAAGUACUGAUUAUACAACUCUUUUAAAGUUGAGGAAGAAUUUUAUGUGGUAUGUUAAUGCAAAAGGUACAAAUAUUGACAGUUAAACCAUCACCACCUCCACAGCCAUCUUAUCUCAAGCAUUCAAUUGCAUUCUAAGUUAUCUUUAUUCAAAUCAAGUGUGACUACUAUACCAAAAGACUGUAGAAUGGACCAAUCAACUAACCCAUCAGUACUUGCAAAGUCUUCUUUUCUGUAAGCCCGAAAUUUGAGUUCUAAAAUACCAUUAUCCACAUAACUACUAUAUCAAAGCACAAACUAAUGGAUUGAUCAAUGAAACUGUCGGUAUCUCCACAACUUUUCAAUUAAAUAGAAAGUUUCAAUCAAACAGGAUACUGAGUGUGCCUACUGCUCCUCAAGACAAUGAAUAAUGGGAGUUAUCAAACUUUAUAUAUAUAUAUAU